UACGGAGGGUGGCAAGCGUUAUCCGGAUUCACUGGGUUAAAGGGUGCGUAGGCGGCUAAAUAAGUCAGUGGUGAAAGCCCGCAGCUCAACUGCGGAAUUGCCAUUGAAACUGUCUAGCUUGAAUCUGGUUGAAGUGGGCGGAAUACAUCAUGUAGGCGGUGAAAUGCUUAGAUAUGAUGUAGAACACCGAUUGCGAAGGCAGCUCACUAAGCCAACAUGACGCUGAGGACGAAAGCGUGGGUAGCGAACAGG
rnacentral:rRNA from 1 species